AGCCUAAAAAAGCGAGUUUUGUACUAAACAUAGGUACUGAAAUAAAAUAUUUUAUUUACUCAGUUCCUAGUCUAGUGCAAGGGUUGCUAAUGGGUUAAUUGGUU
rnacentral:pre_miRNA from 13 species